GGGCGAUGCAUUUUACGAAAAAUUUGAUCCGAACAAUGUCAGUAACUCGUAUAAACGCCCCCCUGUUUAUCCCAAUUCAUGCACUGACAUAACCCGAUACGUAAUCGUACUGGGAAUCUGUGUAAAGUCGCGCGCUGAGUGACAUCAUCCGAGUUAAAUUCGAUCAAUACUGUAGCGUUUAUAGCGUGGCAUAUUCAGUACUUUGAUACACACAGUAGAUUUAUUUGUGCCAUGCCUGUUGACGUGUUUAAAAGUUUGUGUUAAUAAAGUGUAUUUUUUUUUUUGAAAUUCAUUUGUAUUGUUAUGGAAUUGUUAUUAUCUGGAUAUUAUUGUGUUUGAUCUAGGACCAAUUUUUGAAGCUCAUUUGGCAGCCCUAUGCACAAACAAAUUUGGAAGGAGACUUUUCAAGGAACAUCCUCAGUUUCAUCAACUUUGGUGUAGAUGGACGGACGACAGACAGCUGCUGGACAGUAUUAAGAAAGCGCAUGAAGACAGAAACAACAAGCAGAGACAGAG